rnacentral:rRNA from 1 species
UACGGAGGGGACUAGCGUUGUUCGGAAUUACUGGGCGUAAAGCGCACGUAGGCGGAUUUGUAAGUCAGGGGUGAAAUCCCGGGGCUCAACCUCGGAACUGCCUUUGAUACUGCACAUCUCGAGUCCGGAAGAGGUGAGUGGAAUUCCUAGUGUAGAGGUGAAAUUCGUAGAUAUUAGGAAGAACACCAGUGGCGAAGGCGGCUCACUGGUCCAUUACUGACGCUGAGGUGCGAAAGCGUGGGGAGCAAACAGG